UGCCCCUUUUAGCCAUUUUAUUUUACUUUUCCUUCUCUUUGGCUCUCUCUCGUCCAACCUUUGUUCUUUUCCUGAGAUUAUUGCAAAUAAAAUUCUCUCCAAACCCUUCUCUCUCUGAAAAAUCUAUACAAAUUUUGCCCCGUCAAUUUCGUUUUUCUUGGAUUCUUUAUUUCUUACUUCAAAUUCCCAGCAUUUCGAUUCCUCCAAAUCGGGUUUUUUGUAUUCCUUCUCUCUCUGUAUAUUCAUUGCAUAUUUUUCUCAUCUACUUUGCAGACUAAUGUAUAUUCAAACUAGGGUUUCGAUUCGUAACCAUUUGUUUCAGAUUUAGGGUUUCCAAUGUCCGAUGACGUAGAUUCUAGGGUUUUUUUUGAUUCAUUGAUUUGUUGGUAUUUCUUUUGAUGAUAAAAAUACGUUGUUUAUAGAUUAACGCGUAUAAUAUUUUGUUUUGAGAUUAAGGGUUUUUAAAUAUUUUUUUUUAUUAUUGAUAUAUAAUUGGGGGAUUGUGGAGGGCUUGGAUGAUUUUUGAAUGGUGGGUUUUGGUGGAUCUGAAAAUUGUCUGGAGAUUUUAGUGUUGGGCACCUAAUUGGGGCAGAGUUUUGGGUGUUGUGGGGUUUGGGAUGGUGAAUUGGGUUCGAGUUUGAAAAGAAGAAAAAGAUUGAAAUUUUGGGCUCUUUAAAGAAGUCUGUUUUAAUUGGGGAUCAAACUAUGGAUCAUGUGAUUGGUGGAAAGUUCAAGCUUGGGCGGAAGAUUGGGAGCGGAUCGUUUGGCGAGCUGUAUUUGGGAGUUAAUGUACAAAGUGGAGAGGAAGUCGCUGUGAAACUGGAACCAGUAAAGACUAAGCAUCCUCAGCUUCACUAUGAAUCAAAAUUGUACAUGCUUCUUCAAGGAGGAACUGGUGUUCCCCACCUCAAAUGGUUUGGAGUUGAAGGCGAAUACAAUGCAAUGGUUAUUGACCUUCUUGGGCCAAGCCUGGAAGACUUGUUCAACUAUUGCAAUAGGAAGUUCACAUUAAAAACAGUUUUAAUGCUUGCGGAUCAGUUAAUUAAUAGAGUUGAGUAUAUGCACUCUAGAGGUUUUCUUCACCGUGAUAUAAAGCCUGACAACUUUCUAAUGGGUCUAGGGCGCAAAGCAAAUCAGGUAUACAUCAUUGACUAUGGCCUUGCAAAAAAGUAUAGAGAUCUUCAAACACACAAGCACAUACCAUACAGGGAAAAUAAAAAUCUUACGGGCACAGCUCGUUAUGCCAGUGUUAACACCCACCUUGGAGUUGAGCAAAGCAGAAGGGAUGAUCUGGAAUCUCUUGGUUACGUUCUUAUGUAUUUUCUGCGGGGAAGCCUUCCUUGGCAGGGUUUGAAAGCUGGCACUAAAAAGCAGAAAUAUGACAAAAUUAGUGAAAAGAAGAUGCUUACUCCCAUAGAGGUUCUUUGCAAAUCUCAUCCAUCAGAAUUCAUAUCAUACUUCCAUUAUUGUCGAUCAUUGCGAUUUGAUGACAAACCAGAUUAUUCAUACCUUAAGAAGCUUUUCCGCGACCUAUUUAUUCGAGAAGGUUAUCAGUUUGACUAUGUAUUUGACUGGACUAUUUUGAAGUAUCCACAGAUUGGUUCUGGUUCCAGUUCCAGUUCCAGUUCCAGAGCACGGCCAGUUGGGAAAUUAGCUUUGAACCCAGGACCAUCUGCAGAAAGAGCUGAAAGGGCUCCAGCCUGUUUCAUUUAUAAUGAAAAGAAGGGUAAUUCUGAGUUUUGGCCAUUAUGCAUUUCAUCCAGUGAGGCAAGAGGUUCGAGAUAGAUUCUCAGGCGGAGUUGAGGCAUUUGCUAGAAGGAAUGGUUCUGGUCCCGGCUUGCAUGGUGAACACUCCAGGCACACUGAUCACUCUAGACAGAGAUCUUCGGACGAUGUACCAUCAUCAAAGGAUGUGCAAGCUGACUCUGAACGAGGUCGCAUUUCUCGAAAUGGAAGUACUUCGAAAAGGGUUGUCACGUCAAGCAGCCAACCGAGUUCAUCCGGUGGCAUCAGUGAGAAUCGACCAAGCCGGUUGAUUUCAGGCAGCGGUCGUCUGUCUACUACCCAAAGGAUUCAACCUGGUUUCGAGUCCAAAUCAUCAUCUUUCACCCGUGCUGCAGCCACAAGGGCCAGCCGUGAUGAUCCUCUUCGGAGCUUUGAGCUGUUAACCAUCGGCACAGGAAAGAGGAAAUAAAUGACUCAGCUCUACGAUUAAAGAAGAAUCUGCUUUUUCAGAGGAUCAAUUCCAGAAGUAUUCACAAAUGUCUGAAGUGCAAGCACAAAUUGAAGUUUGUAGGUAGAACAUAUCCAGAAGUUCUUCCAUAUUACUGAUUCUUGCUAUUAUAAUAUCUUUGUGAGCUCUUCAAACAAGAGGAGAUAAAAAGUGUUACCUAAAGUUGGAGAAAAAUGUUAUAUAUAUAUAUAUAUUUUUUUUUUUGGGACCUGAGGUAGUAGAAUUAAGUGUUCAUGUUUGUUGUACUACGGAUAAAACUUUUCUUCAGGAUCAAAAUGCACUUGGCUUCUGAAUCUCUAUUA